CGGCGCGGGCGGAGGCGCGGCGCGGCCUGACGUAACCGGGCGCUCGGCCCCGCCGAACGCGGCUGACGCUGCGCGGCCAGAGAGCAGGCCCCGCCGCCGCCUGGGCUUGGAACGCAGCGCGCGCGGCCAUGGCCUCCGGCGCCGCAGCUAAGCGGGCGCAGGGCGAGCGGGCGGCGGGACGGCAGCCCCGGCCCCGGCCCCGGCCCCAGCGCGGGGCUGACCGUGUGCCCCCUCGUCUCGUCCCACAGAGGCGGACCCUCGACAGAGGCUGCUGCGCACCGUCAAGAAGGAGGUACCGUAAGUUCCCGGUGAGGAAUCCGAGUUUUCAAGGACUGGGUAGAAUCGACGGAGGAGAUAAGAAUGCUGAGGAAGACUCUAUAACCAGGCUUUCUGACAAACCUGGUCCUGGAGAUUCAUGGCCUACAUCAGCUAGCCAAGACGUAGAUUUCGGUACCAAGGAAGGAACAGCAAAGUCAGCAAUGGAAGCAAAGGAAGAUGGUGUUGGUAUUAUUGAAAAUGUGCCACCAGAGCAAACAGUUAAUGACAGUGUGACUUCUGCUGGUGGAGUGCAUAAAAAUUGCAGAAGUGAUAUGAUGUCAGCAUUAGAAUUAGGAGAAGAGGAAGAUGUAGAAUCACCUUCUCUUCCUGAGAUGCAGAGACUGACACACGGAAGUUUUCGGUAGUGUACUCAAGUUGCAAGAAGCACAGGAUCGACAUGCAGAGGCCAUAAGACAUGCUGAGGAGAUGAAAGAUCAUAUGCAAAAGUAGAAUUCUACCCUCAGAGAAAAUAGCGCUAAAAGUUCAACAUGCCAGAUGGGAAGAAACCAUUAAACAGCAAGUGGCCCAAAUUCAAGAUCUUCAGAGCAACUUGUUAAGGAUAAGUUUG